rnacentral:rRNA from 1 species
GAUGAACGCUGGCGGCGUGCUUAACACAUGCAAGUCGAACGGAAAGGCUCCUGCUUGCAGGGGUACUCGAGUGGCGAACGGGUGAGUAACACGUGGGUGAUCUGCCCUGCACUUCGGGAUAAGCCUGGGAAACUGGGUCUAAUACCGGAUAGGACGAUGGUUUGGAUGCCAUUGUGGAAAGUUUUUUCGGUGUGGGAUGAGCUCGCGGCCUAUCAGCUUGUUGGUGGGGUAAUGGCCUACCAAGGCGUCGACGGGUAGCCGGCCUGAGAGGGUGUACGGCCACAUUGGGACUGAGAUACGGCCCAGACUCCUACGGGAGGCAGCAGUGGGGAAUAUUACACAAUGGGCGCAAGCCUGAUGCAGCGACGCCGCGUGGGGGAUGACGGCCUUCGGGUUGUAAACUACUUUCGCUAGGGCCGAAGCGGAAGUGACGGUACCUGGAGAAGAAGCACCGGCUAACUACGUG